GGCAUAGACACCAUGAAGAGGAGAGAAGCCCCUCCUAGAUGCAUUUUAUGGUCAUCAUCCACCCUUCCCACCUUAUUGGCCUUGUUGCAUGUCAGGGGAAAAGAUUAAGAGGCAUCUGAACUACUUUUACUGAAACUUUUCUGAAUGUGGACUGUGCAGAUGUGAGUGGAUUGGAGAAGGGGAAGGAGGGGAGGCGAUCAUUUGGUUAUUAUCACCAUCAACAGUUACUGAGCAGUUACUAUGAGAUUGAUAUGUUUCACGGAUUAUCCUAAUUAACAGCAAAACAAUCCUCAGAGGAAGAAGAAAGGAAAAAAAGAAGAAAGGAAGGAGGAGAGAGAAGGAAGAAGGGCGGAACGCAUAGAGAAAAGGGGAAAGGAAUGAAGAAAGGAAGAGGAGAACUAAAGAAAGAGCAAAAUUAACUCAGAAGACGGAAUUAAUGGUUAAAUCAGUGGUGGUCAUACUAUCGACCAAACCCUGCCUAGCCACCUGAUUUUGUAUGUAAAGUCUUAUUGCAACACAGUGGUGCCUAUUCAUUUGCAUAUGGCCCAUGGCUGCUUUUGCAUGGAGUGGUUAUCACAAAGACUGUACGACCCACAAAGCUUAAAUAAAAUAUUUACUAUCUGGCCUUUACAGAAAAUGUUUGCAGAUGCUUGGACUCAAUGAUUGAUGGUUCCUUAGAAGAUAGGUC
rnacentral:lncRNA from 1 species